rnacentral:tRNA from 1 species
AGCCCCGUGGUGUAGCGGUCAAGCAUAGGGCCCUUUGGAGGCUCUGACGGCAGUUCGAAUCUGCCCGGGGCUA